rnacentral:rRNA from 1 species
AGAGUUUGAUCCUGGCUCAGGAAGAACGCUAGCGGUGUGCCUAAUACAUGCAAGUCGAACGGUUCUUUCUUUGAUGAAGCUUCGGCAGAUUCGUUGAAAGAAUAGUGGCGAACGGGUGAGUAAUGCAUGAGUAAUCUGCCCUAAAGACCGGGAUAAGCUUUCGAAAGGAAGUCUAAUACCGGAUAAUAAAAUCAGAUCGCAUGAUUUGAUUUUCAAAGGUAGCUUUUUAAGCCUCUGCUUUUGGAUGAGCUCAUGUCCUAUCAGCUAGUUGGUGAGGUAAAGGCUCACCAAAGCUAAGACGGGUAGCCGGUCUGAGAGGACGGUCGGCCACACUGGGACUGAGACACGGCCCAGACUCCUACGGGAGGCAGCAGUAGGGAAUCUUGCGCAAUGGGCGAAAGCCUGACGCAGCGAUACCGCGUGGAGGAUGAAGGUUUUCGAAUCGUAAACUCCUGUCAAUAGAGGAAGAAGGUAUUAUAGGUGAAUAGCUUAUAAUAUUGACGGUACUUUGUAAGGAAGCCCCGGCUAACUACGUGCCAGCAGCCGCGGUAAUACGUAGGGGGCAAGCGUUUUCCGGAUUUAUUGGGCGUAAAGCGCACGCAGGUGGCUUUUUAAGUCGGAUGUGAAAUCUCUUAGCAAAACUAAGAAAUUGCAUCCGAAACUGGAUUGCUUGAGGUCGGGAGAGGAGAGUGGAAUUCUCGGUGUAGCGGUGAAAUGCGCAGAUAUCGAGAAGAACACCAUUAGCGAAGGCGGCUCUCUGGAACGAUACUGACACUAAGGUGCGAAAGCUAGGGUAGCAAACAGGAUUAGAUACCCUGGUAGUCCUAGCUGUAAACGAUGGGCACUAGAUGUAGGGAGAUAUCGACUCUUCCUGUGUCGUAGCUAACGCGUUAAGUGCCCCGCCUGGGGAGUACGACCGCAAGGUUAAAACUCAAAGGAAUUGACGGGGACCCGCACAAGCGGUGGAGCAUGUGGCUCAAUUCGAUGCAACACGAAGAACCUUACCAGGGCUUGACAUUCUGGUGGUAGUGAUCUGAAAGGUGAACGACCCUUCGAGGAGCCAGAACAGGUGGUGCAUGGCUGUCGUCAGCUCGUGUCGUAAGAUGUUGGGUUAAGUCCCGUAACGAGCGCAACCCUUAUCCCAUGUUGCUAACAUUAAGUUGAGGACUCUUGGGAGACU